UACGUAGGGCGCAAGCGUUAUCCGGAAUUAUUGGGCGUAAAGAGCUCGUAGGCGGUUUGUCGCGUCUGCCGUGAAAGUCCGGGGCUCAACUCCGGAUCUGCGGUGGGUACGGGCAGACUGGAGUGCGGUAGGGGAGAUUGGAAUUCCUGGUGUAGCGGUGGAAUGCGCAGAUAUCAGGAGGAACACCGAUGGCGAAGGCAGAUCUCUGGGCCGUAACUGACGCUGAGGAGCGAAAGCGUGGGGAGCGAACAGG
rnacentral:rRNA from 1 species